AGUUUGAUCAUGGCUCGGAUUGAACGCUGGCGGGAUGCUUACACAUGCAAGUCGAACGGCAGCACGGACUUCGGUCUGGUGGCGAGUGGCGAACGGGUGAGUAAUGUAUCGGAACGUGCCUAGUAGCGGGGGAUAACUACGCGAAAGCGUAGCUAAUACCGCAUACUGCCCCUUCGGGGAAAGCGGGGACCUUUCGGGCCUUCCCACUAGAGCGGCCGAUAUCGGAUUAGCUAGUUGGUGGGGUAACGGCUCACCAAGGCGACGAUCCGUAGCUGGUUUGAGAGGACGACCAGCCACACUGGGACUGAGACACGGCCCAGACUCCUACGGGAGGCAGUGGGGAAUUUGGACAAUGGGGGGAAACCCUGAUCCAGCCAUCUCGCGUGUGCGAUGAAGGCCUUCGGGUUGUAAAGCACUUUUGGCAGGAAAGAAACGGCACGGGAUAAUACCCGUGCAACUGACGGUACCUGCAGAAUAAGCACCGGCUAACUACGUGCCAGCAGCCGCGGUAAUACGUAGGUGCAAGCGUUAAUCGGAAUUACUGGGCGCAAAGCGUGCGCAGGCGGUUCGGAAAGAAAGAUGUGAAAUCCCAGAGCUUAACUUUGAACUGCAUUUUUAACUACCGAGCUAGAGUGUCAGAGGGAGGAAUUCCGCGUAGCAGUGAAAUGCGUAGAUAUGCGGAGGAACACCGAUGGCGAAGGCAGCCUCCUGGGAUAACAAUUGACGCUCAUGCACGAAAGCGUGGGGAGCAAACAGGAUUAGAUACUCCUGGUGUCCACGCUGCCCUAAACGAUGUCAACUAGCUGUUAGCCUUCGGGCCUUGGUAGCGCAGCUAACGUGAAGUUGAUCGCCUUGGGGAGUACGGUCGCAAGAUUAAAACUCAAAGGAAUUGACGGGGACCCGCACAAGCGGUGGAUGAUGUGGAUUAAUUCGAUGCAACGCGAAAAACUUUACCUACCCUUGACAUGUCUGGAAUCCCGAAGAGAUUUGGGAGUGCUCGCAAGAGAACCGGAACACAGGUGCUGCAUGGCUGCCGUCAGCUCGUGUCGAGAUGUUGGGUUAAGUCCCGCAACGAGCGCAACCUUUGUCAUUAGUUGCUGUACGAAAGGGCACUCUAUCGAGACUGCCGGUGACAAACCGGAGGAAGGUGGGGAUGACGUCAAGUCCUCAUGGCCCUUAUGGGUAGGGCUUCACACGUCAUACAAUGGUCGGGACAGAGGGUCGUCAACCCGGCGAGGGGGAGCCAAUCCCAGAAACCCGAUCGUAGUCCGGAUCGCAGUCUGCAACUCGACUGCGUGAAGUCGGAAUCGCUAGUAAUCGCGGAUCAGCAUGUCGCGGUGAAUACGUUCCCGGCCUUGUACACACCGCCCGUCACACCAUGGGAGUGGGUUUUACCAGAAGUAGUUAGCCUAACCGUAAGAGGCGACACACGGUAGAUUCAUGACCGGGUGAAGUCGUAACAAGGUAA
rnacentral:rRNA from 1 species